UGAUGCUGAGAGAUUCAAGAAGCAUUUAAAGAACAGAAUACAUCUACACAUCUGUGCUGAGCCUGUUUUGAUAAUAUUUAUCAUAGUAAAGACGAAUAGAAUUGCUUUGAAAAGAACAAUAUGUCAAUGAGUUUGACGUUCAAACACUUGACGAACAAUAUUUGGAAGGUCAUUCUUCUAUGCCUGGUAUACUUUAUGUGCAUAGGAACAGCAGAAAACAACAUAAGCAUUAAAGAAUUGAUUCUUACAUUCCGUCCAACAAAGACAACAAGUAUUACAUACAAUGAAGUAUUUAAAAACUUUGAUUUUCAUGUUUGCACAGAAAAGUUCUUUAAACGUAUACAACUUAUCUCAAAUAUGGUAGACUUGAAUAAUUUUGUUCUUAGGCCUAAAAGAGGACGUAUAAAAGAAAACAUA